CAGCCGAUACCGAUGACGUGCUGAUAAUAUCGUGCAUCCCUACUAGAGAGGGAAAGAAAUGACAAGUGAUGAAGUGAAUGAAUGUGAAGUGAAGUGAUGGGAUGAAGAGUCUCCAGCCUGGAGGGAGGAGAGACAUGUGGUCUGUGUCCUGCAGUGUCCUUCCUUUAAUGAUAAAAUAUAACAUCUUACUCAGUUUGAAUAGAUUAAAGACAAAGAAAUGACGAUUGAUAGGUGGAUGAAUGUGACUGAUAUAAAAUCUAUAAUACAUAAUCUAUACAUUACAGUGUUGUGACUCUAAUCCCGUCUGUGGAAAUGUUAUUAAACUAUGUUUGUGUGUUCUCAGUUUGCAGAGUCAUCAUCACAAACAGCCAUUUUCUAAAUGAAGCUUGAAAUCUCAUAUCAUGGAUAUGAAGAGUUUAAUCCACUUGAUGAACUUCACAGUGACUGAGAUUAUUCUGUGGUGCAGCUUCCAGCAGAUAAUCCAACAUUAGUUUAGUUUAACUGCAUGUUUUUAUUUUCUGUUUAAUAUUAUUUGUUUUAUCUGACUUCUGCUAAACCAUCAGCUCAUGAUGAUGUAAAUAAAUUGUAGUUUUGAACAUUAUUUCAUGUUAUGUAGAGUUGUAAUGUGCGUCUGUGCCUUCAGAUAGAUCGAUUGAGUUAUUUAUUGAUCCCAAAGACAGAUUCAAGUGUUACAGCAGCUACUUCACAUCAUAAAAACUAACCAGUUCAGUGAGAAACAAAUACAAAUACUGUAUCUCCUGAAUAUAAGAUGAUAUUUUAUUCUAAAGUCACAUUUAUUAAAGUGGAGUCGUCUUAUAUGUGAGGAUGAGACAGUUACAUGUUCACACGUGCACGGCUGGUGAGUUUCUUCCAGUGUGUUAUGCACCGGCUGGAUGGAUGAGUUAUCUUUUUGUUUCUCCCAGUGUUCCUUGUCUUGUACUUCCUGUUUUAUUUUGAUACUCACCUCUUGUCUCGUUCCAGGUCCUUCACUUCCUGCCCUCGUGUGUCUCCCUCCCGUGUGAUUACCUGCCCUGUGUCUCGUCGUGUAUAUAGUCUCAGUGUUCCCUUCCUUCAGCGUUCAGGCCUUUUUCCCCACUGCUCUUCCUCCUCCAGCAACCGCUGAGAUUCCUGCGGUGACAGCAGAAAGCUGAUCAACAUUAUGGGAUGUCGGUUUAUUCUUGUGUAGAACAUCCUCCAUCUUGACGCCAGGAUGCCGAAGGCGUUUUCAACAGCCAUCCUUCCCAGACUGUGUCCAGGAUUCGGCCUCAUCACAUACGACCUCGUGCUGAGCAGCACCUGGCGGAGGAGGAGGAGGAGGAGGAGGAGGAGGAGGUACGCUGAGAGUCCCAUCUGCUGCAGGCUGCAUAUACUCCUCCAUCACUGGUCCUCCCAACGUCUCCAGCUUGUACGACUCUGAACUGCUGGUCAGCAUCAACAACGGCCAGAACAAGCGAAAAAGUUGCUUUACCAUUUGAGAAGUUCAACUUCUGACAGAGUUUUUGGGGAAAUGUUCCUCCACAGAUCUUCUGUUGGGACGGAGAUGAACGUUGACAUCAUGAUCUUCAUGUUCACAGUCAGCAACAGUCUAAUGUAGUAACUGAAGGCAAGACUGAUAAAAGAUUCUCAUGUUGCCAUGUACCUGAAACCAAAUGAAGAAAGCAUUAAUAAAAACACAUGUUCACCUAUUUAUAGUAGAUGACUGCAAGACUCUGAGGAACAUAUUUCUGCAGCAAGAAAAAAAGACAAGAAGAGGUCAAGAGCAGAAAGGGAGAACAUCCUGGUGAUGACUUUACUACAUCAUCUCUAACCAAGAAGUUCAGAAAGCAGCUUGAGACCUGCCAGCCUGGAGGGUUUAUAGGAGACCCUGUAGACCUGAGCUCUGCAGUUUUUGAUGAUGAUCCUGGAGGGAACAAACAGCACGGAAAUCUCUUCAGGACCCUGCUGCUCCCAGUGGAGGACCCCCCCCCCCCCCCACUGGAAACAGGCCAGAGAGAAGAAGCUGUCCUGCAGAAUGUAUUGUAAAUGUAUUAUUUUGUCCUCAGUCUGGUACUGAUCCUCUCCAGGCUGGACUGUCGGGGUCAGACAGAGGUCAAGAUGGGUCCAGCAGCCUCCGACAUACUUCUUAAUAAUUCUUUAUUUGUAAAUAGUUAAUGUAUUUAGUGUGAUGUCAUUACUGUUAUUUUAGAUGUCUGUUUUAUAAGA